ensembl:misc_RNA Metazoa_SRP Metazoan signal recognition particle RNA
GCUGGGCGCGAUGACUCAUGCCUGUAAUCCCAGCACAUUGGGAGGCUGAGGCAGGUGGAUCACCUGAGGUCAGGAGUUCCAGACGAGCCUGGCCAACAUGGUGAAACCCUGUCUCUA